GAAAACUCUUCUCCCUACCCGAGCCUUCUCCUCUUCUUCUCUCACGCCCGACGCCGGCCCUAACCGCCGGCCGGCGGUCUCUUCCUCCCCGAAACCCGAAGCCAUUGCCUCUUCCCUUCUUCUCUCCCCCGCGCGUGCCUGCCGAGCCUCACCCGACGACUCCACAGCCCGACGGCUGUGCCCUAAUCGCCGACGCACCCCUCGGUGCCCUAGCCACCCGGCGCCGCUGAUCGCCUUCUUCUCUUUUUCCCUCGCUGUGGAGAUUCCGGAGCCACCACAGCCGACGGCCGAGCCUCUCUGCCGAUUGGGUCGUGCCCUAGUACUGCCGGCCUCCCCUGUGAUCUUGCACCGCCGUUGUCACCCACAGCCGACUGGAACAGUGUGUCCACCCCGUCGAGCCUAGUUCUUCCUCUGUGUGCCACUGCCGAGAGCGAGCAGUAUCGAGUCAUGCCCUAGACUUGGUUCACCGCCGCUCUAGCGAGUUGGUCUUUAACCAAAGGCAAAACUCCAAGCUCUAGUGGCUUCACCGUGACCUAUGCCUCACCAUCGGAUCUUCCUGCUUCACCACUAGCUGUCGGCAGAGAGAAAACAAGAAGGUAUCGGAAUCAGUGUAGCUCCGGCCAAGAAUUUGCGACAGUAGGUAUUUUCAGCUAGCAAUUUCCAGCAGCAACCUCCCUGCUGUGAGGAUUGAGCAAUUUAUCUUUGCUGGCUGUAAACAAUCCUAAUUGGGUAACAACUUUGUGACUUCUAGCAGCGGUUGAAUUGAGGACUUUGACGCGAGACGAGUAUCUCGGAGUCAGAUUGGACCUUUCUAUUUU